rnacentral:ncRNA from 1 species
UGGGCCAUUUUUGGUAAGCAGAACUGGCGAUGCGGGAUGAACCGAACGCGCGGUUAAGGUGCCAAAGUCGACGCUCAUCAGACCCCACAAAAGUUGUUGGUUGCUCUAGACAGCAGGACGGUGGCCAUGGAAGUUGGAAUCCGCUAAGGAGUGUGUAACAACUCACCUGCCGAAGCAACUAGCCCUGAAAAUGGAUGGCGCUCAAGCGUCGCACCUAUACCGUGCCGUCGGAGCAGAUGCAAAGCUCCGACGAGUAGGAGGGCGUGGGGGUCGUGACGCAGCCUCUGGCGCGAGCCUGGGUGAAACGGCCUCCAGUGCAGAUCUUGGUGGUAGUAGCAAAUAUUCAAAUGAGAGCUUUGAAGACCGAAGUGGAGAAAGGUUCCAUGUGAACAGCAGUUGGACAUGGGUUAGUCGAUCCUAAGAGAUAGGGAAAUUCCGUUUGCAAGCGCCCGAUCUUGGGCCGCCUAUCGAAAGGGAAUCGGGUUAAUAUUCCCGAACCGGGACGCGGAUAUUGCCGUUCGCGGCAGAUGCGGUAACGCAAACGAACCCGAAGACGCUGGCGGGGGCCCUGGGAAGAGUUCUCUUUUCUUUUUAACGAGCUUUCACCCUGAAAUCAGCUUGCCUGGAGAUAGGGUUUAAUGCUCGGUAAAGCACCACACUUCUUGUGGUGUGCGGUGCGCUCUCGACGGCCCUUGAAAAUUCGGGGAAGACAUUGAUUUUCGUGUCCGGUCGUACUCAUAACCGCAGCAGGUCUCCAAGGUGAGCAGCCUCUGGUUGAUAGAACAAUGUAGGUAAGGGAAGUCGGCAAAAUAGAUCCG